GACGAACGCUGGCGGCGUGCUUAACACAUGCAAGUCGAACGAAGAGCGAUGGAAGCUUGCUUCUAUCAAUCUUAGUGGCGAACGGGUGAGUAACGCGUAAUCAACCUGCCCUUCAGAGGGGGACAACAGUUGGAAACGACUGCUAAUGCCGCAUACGAUCUGACCUCGGCAUCGAGGAUAGAUGAAAGGUGGCCUCUAUUUAUAAGCUAUCACUGAAGGAGGGGAUUGCGUCUGAUUAGCUAGUUGGAGGGGUAACGGCCCACCAAGGCGAUGAUCAGGAGCCGGGCUGAGAGGAUGAACGGCCACAUUGGGACUGGGACACGGCCCAGACUCCUACGGGAGGCAGCAGUGGGGAAUCUUCCGCAAUGGACGAAAGUCUGACGGAGCAACGCCGCGUGAGUGAUGACGGCCUUCGGGUUGUAAAGCUCUGUUAAUCGGGACGAAAGGCCUUCUUGCGAAUAGUUAGAAGGAUUGACGGUACCGGAAUAGAAAGCCACGGCUAACUACGUG
rnacentral:rRNA from 1 species